rnacentral:lncRNA from 1 species
GCCCUCUGUCUUCAUCACUAGGAUAAACUCUGUAAGCGUUUACCAAAUCAUCUGAUACCCCGUCUACAUCUUCUACUCUUCGAGCCCUCUUCUUCGUCUUGAACAUGCUAAAAAGACUAAAGGACUUCUUCUGCUUGUGGCUGUUACCUCCCAUUCUGUUCAACACCAAAUGCAAAUGCAAAAGCAAGAAAGUACUAUCUGAAAUAUACUUCCUCAG